rnacentral:rRNA from 1 species
GGUAAGGUAACGGCUUACCAAGGCAACGAUGCAUAGCCGACCUGAGAGGGUGAUCGGCCACACUGGAACUGAGACACGGUCCAGACUCCUACGGGAGGCAGCAGUAGGGAAUCUUCCGCAAUGGGCGAAAGCCUGACGGAGCAACGCCGCGUGAGUGAUGAAGGUCUUCGGAUCGUAAAACUCUGUUAUUAGGGAAGAACAUAUGUGUAAGUAACUGUGCACAUCUUGACGGUACCUAAUCAGAAAGCCACGGCUAACUACGUGCCAGCAGCCGCGGUAAUACGUAGGUGGCAAGCGUUAUCCGGAAUUAUUGGGCGUAAAGCGCGCGUAGGCGGUUUUUUAAGUCUGAUGUGAAAGCCCACGGCUCAACCGUGGAGGGUCAU